rnacentral:rRNA from 1 species
GACGGACGCGGGCGGCGUGCCUAAUACAUGCAAGUAGAACGCUGAGGGUUUGGUGUUUACACUAGAUUGAUGAGUUGCGAACGGGUGAGUAACGCGUAGGUAACCUGCCUCAUAGCGGGGGAUAACUAUUGGAAACGAUAGCUAAUACCGCAUAAGAGUAAUUAACACAUGUUAGUUAUUUAAAAGGAGCAAUUGCUUCACUGUGAGAUGGACCUGCGUUGUAUUAGCUAGUUGGUGAGGUAAAGGCUCACCAAGGCGACGAUACAUAGCCGACCUGAGAGGGUGAUCGGCCACACUGGGACUGAGACACGGCCCAGACUCCUACGGGAGGCAGCAGUAGGGAAUCUUCGGCAAUGGACGGAAGUCUGACCGAGCAACGCCGCGUGAGUGAAGAAGGUUUUCGGAUCGUAAAGCUCUGUUGUUAGAGAAGAACGUUGGUAGGAGUGGAAAAUCUACCAAGUGACGGUAACUAACCAGAAAGGGACGGCUGACUACGUGCCAGCAGCCGCGGUAAUACGUAGGUCCCGAGCGUUGUCCGGAUUUAUUGAGCGUAAAGCGAGCGCAGGCGGUUCUUUAAGUCUGAAGUUAAAGGCAGUGGCUUAACCAUUGUACGCUUUGGAAACUGGAGGACUUGAGUGCAGAAGGGGAGAGUGGAAUUCCAUGUGUAGCGGUGAAAUGCGUAGAUAUAUGGAGGAACACCGGUGGCGAAAGCGGCUCUCUGGUCUGUAACUGACGCUGAGGCUCGAAAGCGUGGGGAGCAAACAGG